GCGCCUGUGGUGGAAUGGCAGACACGAUAGAUUUAGGAUCUAUUUUCGAGAGGAGUGCAGGUUCAAGUCCUGUUAGGCGCACCA
rnacentral:tRNA from 1 species